rnacentral:rRNA from 1 species
UAAACUCCCUGUGUUGAGGAAGAUAAUGACGGUACUCAACAAGGAAGUGACGGCUAACUACGUGCCAGCAGCCGCGGUAAAACGUAGGUCACAAGCGUUGUCCGGAAUUACUGGGUGUAAAGGGAGCGCAGGCGGGAGAACAAGUUGGAAGUGAAAUCCAUGGGCUCAACCCAUGAACUGCUUUCAAAACUGUUUUUCUUGAGUAGUGCAGAGGUAGGCGGAAUUCCCGGUGUAGCGGUGGAAUGCGUAGAUAUCGGGAGGAACACCAGUGGCGAAGGCGGCCUACUGGGCACCAACUGACGCUGAGGCUCGAAAGUGUGGGUAGCAAACAGGAUUAGAUACCCUGGUAGUCCACACCGUAAACGAUGAUUACUAGGUGUUGGAGGAUUGACCCCUUCAGUGCCGCAGUUAACACAAUAAGUAAUCCACCUGGGGAGUACGACCGCAAGGUUGAAACUCAAAGGAAUUGACGGGGGCCCGCACAAGCAGUGGAGUAUGUGGUUUAAUUCGACGCAACGCGAAGAACCUUACCAAGUCUUGACAUCCCUUGACGAUGCUGGAAACAGCAUUUCUCUUCGGAGCAAGGAGACAGGUGGUGCAUGGUUGUCGUCAGCUCGUGUCGUGAGAUGUUGGGUUAAGUCCCGCAACGAGCGCAACCCUUAUGGUCAGUUACUACGCAAGAGGACUCUGGCCAGACUGCCGUUGACAAA